CGUAGGUGGCAAGCGUUGUCCGGAUUUAUUGGGCGUAAAGCGAGCGCAGGCGGUUCCUUAAGUCUGAUGUGAAAGCCCACGGCUCAACCGUGGGAGGUCAUUGGAAACUGGGGAACUUGAGUGCAGAAGAGGAGAGUGGAAUUCCAUGUGUAGCGUUGAAAUGCGUAGAUAUAUGGAGGAACACCAGUGGCGAAGGCGACUCUCUGGUCUGUAACUGACGCUGAGGCUCGAAAGCGUGGGGAGCAAACAGGAUUAGA
rnacentral:rRNA from 1 species